CUACGGGGGGCACCAGUGAGGAAUAUUGCACAAUGGGGGGAACCCUGAUGCAGCAACGCCGCGUGGAGGAUGACGCAUUUCGGUGUGUAAACUCCUUUUAUAUGUCAAGAAAAUGACGGUAGCAUAUGAAUAAGCACCGGCUAACUCCGUGCCAGCAGCCGCGGUAAUACGGCGGGUGCAAGCGUUACUCGGAAUCACUGGGCGUAAAGGACGCGUAGGCGGGUUGGAAAGUCAGGUGUGAAAUACUACAGCUUAACUGUAGAACUGCACUUGAAACUUCUAAUCUAGAGUAUGGGAGGGGGAGAUGGAAUUAGUGGUGUAGGGGUAAAAUCCGUAGAUAUCACUAGGAAUACCUAAAGCGAAGGCGAUCUCCUGGAACAUUACUGACGCUAAGGCGUGAAAGCGUGGGGAGCAAACAGGAUUAGAUACCCCCGUAGUC
rnacentral:rRNA from 1 species